AGAGUUUGAUCCUGGCUCAGGACGAACGCUGGCGGCGUGCCUAACACAUGCAAGUCGAACGGAGUUAAACGCUGAAUUGAAGAUAGCUUGCUAUAAGAUUUUCUUGUUUAACUUAGUGGCGGACGGGUGAGUAACGCGUGAGCAACCUGCCUUACAGAGGGGGACAACAGUUGGAAACGACUGCUAAUACCGCAUAAUGUGGAGAGAGGACAUCCUUUUUUCACCAAAGGAGUAAUCCGCUGUAAGAUGGGCUCGCGUCCGAUUAGCCAGUUGGCGGGGUAACGGCCCACCAAAGCGACGAUCGGUAGCCGGACUGAGAGGUUGAACGGCCACAUUGGGACUGAGACACGGCCCAGACUCCUACGGGAGGCAGCAGUGGGGGAUAUUGCACAAUGGGGGAAACCCUGAUGCAGCAACGCCGCGUGAGGGAAGAAGGUUUUCGGAUUGUAAACCUCUGUUUUUAGUGAAGAAACAAAUGACGGUAGCUAAAGAGGAAGCCACGGCUAACUACGUGCCAGCAGCCGCGGUAAUACGUAGGUGGCAAGCGUUGUCCGGAAUUACUGGGUGUAAAGGGUGCGCAGGCGGGACUGCAAGUUGGAUGUGAAAUACCGAGGCUUAACCUCGGAGCUGCAUCCAAAACUGUGGUUCUUGAGUGGAGUAGAGGUAAGCGGAAUUCCGAGUGUAGCGGUGAAAUGCGUAGAUAUUCGGAGGAACACCAGUGGCGAAGGCGACUUACUGGGCUCUAACUGACGCUGAGGCACGAAAGUGUGGGUAGCAAACAGGAUUAGAUACCCUGGUAGUCCACACUGUAAACGAUGAAUGCUAGGUGUGGGGGGACUGACCCCCUCCGUGCCGGAGUAAACACAAUAAGCAUUCCACCUGGGGAGUACGACCGCAAGGUUGAAACUCAAAGGAAUUGACGGGGGCCCGCACAAGCAGUGGAGUAUGUGGUUUAAUUCGAAGCAACGCGAAGAACCUUACCAGGUCUUGACAUCCGACUAACGAAGUAGAGAUACAUUAGGUGCCCUUCGGGGAAAGUUGAGACAGGUGGUGCAUGGUUGUCGUCAGCUCGUGUCGUGAGAUGUUGGGUUAAGU
rnacentral:rRNA from 1 species